CUUAAAAAUAAAUAAUCACAAAAACAACAUAACCUAACUUAACCUCACUUAAGUAACGCUGUUCGUGUGUUUAUUCAACAAGUUAAUUUAAAGAAAUGGGCAAAAAUCACCGUCAUUCGAAGAAUUUAAAAUCAGAGAGGUCCAAAAUCAAGUUAAAAACCCAAAAAACCAAGUUCUUACCGAAAGGCUUAAACGUAACCAACACCGACUUCAAAAUAAAACUAAUCGUGGUUCCUCAUCAACUUGUGCAGCACAAAUCUCAAAUUACCUCUCAAAAUCUCGAUUUUAAGGACAUCAUGAACCGAAUUAAACAUCACAACGUAACAGUUAACCUAAACAGUUCACAACAAUUAAAAGAAUUCAUCUAUAUAAUAUAACGUUUUGGAUAAGUACGUUUUACAAAUAUGCGAAUUACUUUGUCCGUUAUACGUACACACCGAUCAAAAAUUACGCCGAGAAGCUAUAACUUUAACACAUCAUUUAAUUAAAUUGGUUAAAAGUGUUGGAAUUGAGCCCCACAUAAACAGAAUUGUAUCAUAUUUAUGUUGCAUGAUGACACAUCUUAACGAAAACGUCCAAGAAGAUUCUUUACGUUCUUUACGAUUCUUUACUUAAAAUCAUCCAAAAUUUUGUUUUAUUAAUUUCGAAAAUUAAAAUUAACGCGAAUGAUAAAUCGAUGUUGCAAACUACCAUUAAGAAUAAACGAACGAGUGUCGAAUGGCGUUUAAUGGUUUUAACAAGAUUUAACGAUUUUAAACAGGAAAAAAUAAGAAAAUGUAAUCGAUUUAGUACCAAUUAAUAUAAUUAAAGUGGAAAGGCAAAGAAUUAGUGCUCCGAUUUAUUAUAAAAAGGAAGAAAUUGAUAUUUUUCGUGAUGAUAUUAAUGUUGAUGUUUGGUUGGAUGAUUGUGUUAAGGAUGUUUUGGUGUUAUUAAAAGGGAUUUGGUUGGAAGUUCAACCUAGUAAUAAGCAUUCCAUUCAAUCAGCGCAAUUAUUUUGUACUGUGAUUAAUAACGAGGUUUUAAACAUUUUGCAUUGCAUUUUGAGUAUAAUUAGUUCCUUUUAUGAGUUGAUGGUGAUUAAAACUCAAGAAAAUCAAGAGAUUAAAAUUCAAAACAAGAUAUUUUUAAAAACUUCCAAAGAAAUCGUAAACUUAAUCUUCGAAAGUUUUCCAUUUUCGAAACAAAAUAAUAGGAGUAUGAGGAUGUUAUUUAUUUUUUGCAUUCUCCGAUAACGAGUACAACAAAAAAUUGGUCGAGCAAGCCUUAACUUAUUUAAACGUUUGUUUGGUGAAUAGAAAUUACGUUCCGCACGAAAAAUCGCAAUUUUUAUUGAAAGCAUUAAAACAAUUAUACGAGAAUAACCUCAACGCUUGGAAUAAACACAAUCAGCAAGAUUUGAACGGUUUUGUUAAUAACACGGCGAAAUACUACAUUAAUAAUAACCUACAAGAAAACGGCGUGGAAAUUUUCAAAUUUUUAUGUGAAAACAUCGAUUCGAUUGAGGGAAUUUUCUUCGAGGUGGUUCGAAAAGCUUGUAAAUCAUUGAUUGGUCCUAAAAUUGGUAUGGAGAUGUUUAAAUCGAUUAGAAUUUUGCUGUUACGGAGAAUAAACGAAGUUGAAAUUGUUCUUUCUUUGUUAUUACCCGAGAUAUUAAAUAAUUUAAGUAGGAUUGAAUUUGAAGGGAUCGAAUAUGCAAGUUUAAAAGAAACCAGGAUUUUGAGUUUGUUUAAGAGCGUUCCAUUGAACGUCAAAAGCCACCAGGUUUUAGAAGAAUUCAGUAAAUUAUCAGAAAACAAUAAGAAACUUAUUAAUAAUUUUUUUGAGAAUGAGUAAAUGUUAACAACAAUGAUUUUAUUGAUUAAAUUGUGUUUAUCUUGUAAGAAGAUAGUAAUAGCUACCAAAAACUUAUCUUUUGGGAUCAACAUGAUUUCAUUAAGUUAAGUAAAGUCGAAUUUGACUUGUUUAUAAAGUUAGGGAGUGUAUUUAUAAUAAUUUCAAUACCCCUAUAGUUAUUAUUUUUAUUCUAUGUCCCAAAAAAUGUUCUUAUCUUUUUUAAAAACGAAUUAUUUAAAUAAUCAUAUUUUGACAAGUUCAUUUUAGCGCCAUCUAAUUUUAUUUCGAUGAAUGUUGACAUUUAUCUGAUUCAUUAUUUUUAUUACAUAUUAAAAUUAUUGUUAAAUUUUGUUUUUUAACAAAUAUCAGUAACAUCUAUAAGCAGGGGUUUUGUAAAUUUUAAAUUUGACAACCAACGAUUACAGGAAACUGUAAAAUAUGUUGGUAAAAUAGAAAUCUGUACAAAUACAGUUACUUUAAUAAAUUAUAAAAUUGUUGCAAAAAACGAUGCCGUACUUCAUGAAUGAAAUGAUCCUAAUGAACAUCAUUAGGAUCAUUUCCUCUAAAGAAAUGGGUUACUUCUCGUUCUUGUGUCCAAAUUUAUGCAUGCA